rnacentral:rRNA from 1 species
UGGGGAAUUUUGCACAAUGGGGGAAACCCUGAUGCAGCGACACCGCGUGAUUUAGAAGGCCUUCGGGUUGUAAAAAUCUUUUCUAUGGGAAGAAAAUGACAGUACCAUAGGAAUAAGGACCGGCUAAUUACGUGCCAGCAGCCGCGGUAAUACGUAAGGUCCGAGCGUUGUCCGGAAUCAUUGGGCGUAAAGGGUACGUAGGCGGGUAAGCAAGUUAGAAGUGAAAUCCUAUAGCUCAACUAUAGUAAGCUUUUAAAACUGCUCAUCUUGAGGUAUGGAAGGGAAAGUGGAAUUCCUAGUGUAGCGGUGAAAUGCGCAGAUAUUAGGAGGAAUACCGGUGGCGAAGGCGACUUUCUGGCCAUAACCUGACGCUGAGGUACGAAAGCGUGGGUAGCAAACAGG